AAACUUUCAACAACGGAUCUCUUGGUUCUGGCAUCGAUGAAGAACGCACGAAAUGCGAUAAGUAAUGUGAAUUGCAGAAUUCAGUGAAUCAUCGAAUCUUUGAACGCACAUUGCGCCCUCUGGUAUUCCGGGGGGCAUGCCUGUUCGAGCGUCAUU
rnacentral:rRNA from 1 species